rnacentral:rRNA from 1 species
GACGAACGCUGGCGGCGUGCUUAACACAUGCAAGUCGAACGAAGUGGCGAACGGGUGAGUAACGCGUAAUCAACCUGCCCUUCAGAGGGGGACAACAUUGGAAAACGACUGCUAAUACCGAAUACUGAGGUGGGGGCUGCCGUCGGUUUAGCUAGUGGGAGGGGUAACGGCCCACCAAGGCGAUGAUAAGUAGCCGGUCUGAGAGGAUGGACGGCCACAUUGGGACUGAGACACGGCCCAGACUCCUACGGGAGGCAGCAGUGGGGAAUCUUCCGCAAUGGACGGAAGUCUGACGGAGCAACGCCGCGUGAGUGAUGACGGCCUUCGGGUUGUAAAGCUCUGUUAAUCGGGACGCGGUACCGGAAUAGAAAGCCACGGCUAACUACGUGCCAGCAGCCGCGGUAAUAC